CGGGUAUAGCUCAGUGGUAGAGCAUAACCUUGCCAAGGUUGGUGUCGCGCGUUCGAAUCGCGUUACC
rnacentral:ncRNA from 15 species